GUCUAAUGUCUAAUCUCACGCCGAUAGGGUACUACCGGUAUUACAAAUUAACAGUAAAGUAUAGAAUAUUUGAGAAUGGAAUUAAAAUUUAUGGUGGAAGUGUAGAAAUUGUAGGUUAGCUCGGGAAAUAAAAAAACGUCCUAUCUUGUUUUAGGACAAUCAUUAUCCCGUGUUUACUGUAUUUAAUUUACAAUUCAUAUCACUGAUAUGUUCAUCAUCCGAAACUAAUACGGAUUUUAUCGAUGAUCGGAGCAAUGCAGAUUUAGAGCUGGUUUUCUUAAUUUAUUGUUUGCAAGAUUUAUAAACUAUAUUUUAUUUUCCAUACAAUAAUUGUGGUUUGUAAAAAAUAAUUUUUAGUUUUUAGUAUUUUAAAAUAUUGAAAUAACAAUAAAUCGGCAAAUAAAAAAAAAUCAUGGCAUCAAAUGUUAUAAAUAAUGAUGUAAAAGUAUUUUAUAAUGCCAUUGCAGAAAAACAAAUCGAUAUUAUUAAACAAUGUUUAGAGGGUAGUAUUUUAAUGUUUAUUAAAAAUAAGUGUAUUAAACCUCCACUUCAUCAUGCAGUUUUAAGUGGCUGUAAAGAAAUAGUUGUAUUGCUUUUGAAUGAAAUUGAUGACAUUGAUUGUGUUGAUUCGUAUGGUAAGACAGCAUUACAUUUGGCCGUUCAAAAUGGGUAUGCAGAUAUUGUUCAAAUAUUAUUAUAUGAAGGUGCUAAUGUCAAUAUUACAUGUAAAAGAAAAAAAUCAGCACUUAGUUAUGCACUAGAUGAAAUUGGUUCAUUGCGCUCUCAACUUUUAAAAAAAAAAAAUUUAGAUGAAAAUGAUGAAGAUGACAAAAAGACUAAAAUUCCAGUUCGUAAAAAUAAUUUAUUUCAAAAAAAACAUUAUAGUUUAUAUCAGUUUGUUCAAAUCGCGGAGUAUCUUGAGGAAUGUAUAAUUAAAUUACAAACGAUGAAUUUAUAUAUAAGUGAACAAAAUUUACAUUUAAUUGAAGAUUAUAGAAGUAUUGAGUAUGAAGAUGAUGAGUAUUCUGAUAUGGAGUUAGACGUAGACUUUGUACCCGUAAAUUUUUAUAAACAGUGUGAAAAUGAAUUUAUUAUGAUAAAAAAUUAUAAAGUCGGAGUUAAUAAUAUUUCGUUCUAUGAUAUUUUGAUAAGCGAUACAUUUAAUGACAAUCAAUUAUCAAAGUAUGCAAAAAAUUUAUUUCAGAUUGACUAUAAAGUUAAAUUCAGAUUAUAUGCCGGAAUAAUAAAGAAUCGUCUAAAAAGAGGAAUAGAAAGAAAUAAAUUAUUGCUCCAAGUAAAUCAAAAUGGAAAAAAUGAUUAUUCAUUUUUUAGAAACCUUCAGUUAAAUUUUUAUUGUAUUUAUGAAAUAUUCAAAUAUCUUAAUAACGAUGACUUGAAAAAUUUAAUAGAAGUAAUUCGAACGCCAAGUUUUUAUAAUGAUUGUAAAUCUAGUUUGUUGAAAGAGAAUGAUCCAAUUAUUCAAAUAACUCAACAAAAAAAUGAAAAUUCAGAAAAAAUAAAACGAACAAAGAUAUCAGAUACCCUCUAGAUUAUAAGAGAGUUAGUCAUGGCUUAAAUAACAAUUAUUUUAUUUAUUUUUUGCAAGAUUAAUUAAGUUAAAUUAAUAUUUAUAUUUAAUGAAAUUUCAGUAGCAAAAAGUUAAUUAAUAGUUUUAGAUUUAAACAAAUGUUAAUGUAAUUGUAUUUUUUUAAUCAAUAUAUAUAUGUAUAUAUAUAUAUACGUACAUAAAAGGAAAAUGUGUGUUUU